rnacentral:rRNA from 1 species
AGUGAACGCUGGCGGUAGGCCUAACACAUGCAAGUCGAACGGCAGCACAGUAAGAGCUUGCUCUUACGGGUGGCGAGUGGCGGACGGGUGAGGAAUACAUCGGAAUCUACUUUUUCGGGGGGGAUAACGUAGGGAAACUUACGCUAAUACCGCAUAUGACCUACGGGGGAAAGCAGGGGAUCUUCGGGCCUUGCGCGAUUGGAUGAGCCGAUGUCGGAUUAGCUAGUUGGCGGGGUAAAGGCCCACCAAGGCGACGAUCCGUGGCUGGUCUGAGAGGCUGGUCGGCCACACGGGAGCUGGGACACGGUCCAGACUCCUACGGGAGGCCGCAGUGGGGAAUAUUGGACAAUGGGCGCAAGCCUGGUCCAGCGAUACCGCGUGGGUGAAGAAGGCCUUCGGGUUGUAAAGCCCUUUUGUUGGGAAAGAAAAGCAGCAGGUUAAUACCCCGCUGUUCUGACGGUACCCAAUGAAUAAGCACCGGCUAACUUCGUG